rnacentral:rRNA from 1 species
GAUGAACGCUGGCGGCGUGCCUAAUACAUGCAAGUCGAGCGAACAGACGAGGAGCUUGCUCCUCUGACGUUAGCGGCGGACGGGUGAGUAACACGUGGAUAACCUACCUAUAAGACUGGGAUAACUUCGGGAAACCGGAGCUAAUACCGGAUAAUAUAUUGAACCGCAUGGUUCAAUAGUGAAAGACGGUUUUGCUGUCACUUAUAGAUGGAUCCGCGCCGCAUUAGCUAGUUGGUAAGGUAACGGCUUACCAAGGCAACGAUGCGUAGCCGACCUGAGAGGGUGAUCGGCCACAUUGGAACUGGGCCACGGUCCAGACUCCUACGGGAGGCAGCAGUGGGGAAUCUUCCGCAAUGGGCGAAAGCCUGACGGAGCAACGCCGCGUGAGUGAUGAAGGUCUUCGGAUCGUAAAACUCUGUUAUUAGGGAAGAACAAAUGUGUAAGUAACUAUGCACGUCUUGACGGUACCUAAUCAGAAAGCCACGGCUAACUACGUG